AUUGAACGCUGGCGGCAGGCCUAACACAUGCAAGUCGAGCGAGCGGCGGACGGGUGAGUAAUGUAUGGGGAUCUGCCCGAUAGAGGGGGAUAACUACUGGAAACGGUGGCUAAUACCGCAUACUAUCGGAUGAACCCAUAUGGGAUUAGCUAGUAGGUGGGGUAAAGGCUCACCUAGGCGACGAUCCCUAGCUGGUCUGAGAGGAUGACCAGCCACACGUGAACUGAGAAACGGUCCAGAGUCCUACGGGAGGCAGCAGUGGGGAAUAUUGCACAAUGGGCGCAAGCCUGAGGCAGCCAUGCCGCGUGUAUGAAGAAGGCCUUCGGGUUGUAAAGUACUUUCAGCGAGGAGGCGUUACUCGCAGAAGAAGCACCGGCUAACUCCGUGCCAGCAGCCGCGGUAAUAC
rnacentral:rRNA from 1 species